GUUAUGAGAAGAACAUAUCAAAACCCUCUCGCUGGCAGAAUAUUUAAAUUUUUUUGUUCAGUUACUGAUUAGAAUCAUCAAACUAUAGAUUGGAAAGGAUGCUUGGAGGUCAUCUGGUCCAACCUCAUGCUGAAAGCAGACCUGACUUCCCAAUUAGAUGAUGUUGUCCACGGCCUUGUUUGGUGAGCUGUGUCUCUCUCUGGGAGCAGUGAUGCUGCAGUCUCCUUCUGCUUUCCUGUGCUCAACUGCACCCCAUGAGAAGAAUUGUCUUCCUUCUUUCAAAAGACAGGUCUGCCAUGCAUUAUGCCCUCUGAAUGGAGCUGGAAAGGCUGCAAACCUUUGUAUUUGGAAGGGAUGAGGCGGGCUGAGGACUGGGAAGGCGGAGGCAGGGACCGCUCAUGCUCCCAGCUGCUGGCCAGGGAAGGAUUUAUUGCCCUGGCUGCGUUUGGGAUACGGACUGCUCAGAAUAGCCAUCCAUCCUGCACGUCUGAGUGAGCUGCCAUGGGAGAUUCAUUUGUAAGCCGGCCUUCCUUCUUCCUGAGGUUUCUUUCUCCUUUAUACUGCAAAGGCUAAUAUAUUGUUCAAAUUAAAGUGGGCCUGGGGACUGAAGACAGAGCUGGUUAUUGAGUGGAAUGGACUGAUGAGGAGUGGGUAAUAUAUUUAAAGACUGUGUAGGAGCCACCAGGGAUGAUAUAGUCUGAUUUAUUUGAUUUAGCAUAAUUUAUAGUACACUAGACUAUGUUGUGAUUCUUCAGGAUUUUUAUCAGGAAAUUUGCGUUCAAUAUUUAAGUAUCUCUGGGCAGAAACAUUCUCAUUCUUUUAUUAUUUUGGCUUUAAAAAUAUCAUGUACCACAGAAGAAUGUAUAAGUGUAUGAAGGGUUUUAAUAAGUUCAGAUAGAAAACAAAAAAUGUUUGACAUCUAACAUUGACAAGGGAGGGGAUUCCUGCUUCACCCUUUCCCAAGGGCAUGGGUGGAUUUGUUAAAAAAAAGCAACACGUUAUCUGCAUUAAUUCUGCUUCUUUUUGUCAUUAGGACAGAGCCAGCCUUGCUAGAGUCACUGACAUCCAAAAACUGUGUCUCAACUGGUGUAAAUCAGGACUGAACCUCUCUGCUUGCGCCCACUAAAAACCACAGGUGUGGUCUGUUGUGCACCACCUUCUUUUCUGAAAUGUUCCUUGAUUUUAGGGCUGGAAUUUUGCUUAGUUUAAUAGAUGAUGGUCCAUUUCUUUGAUGCUCUAAGCAUCAUUUUUACAUGGUAAAAACAUUGUAUUUUGUAAGUUAGUCCUCUUAAAAUUUCAUCUCUUUUAGAGAUCAUCAAUAGAUGGAGAUAGGUGAAACUGGGCCUGUCUUUAGGGCACAAGUGCUGUGGCACAAGAUCAGGUCUCUGAGCACACCAUCAGGGGUGACUCCAUUGUUUCUCCUGGAAGUUUAAACUUUUGUACACCCGGAACAGGAGGGUGAGGUGGCAUGGUGGUCCCCAGUUUGUGCCCUGCUGAGUACCUUAUGAUGCACUGAAUGAACAUACUAGCAGAUGCCAUAUUCAAAACAUUUUAAAUGUUCAUUCCUAAAUUUGUGACACAUCAUGGUUUCAGCAGCUCUGCUGGACCUUCCCCUGAUGUGAUUUAUUUCUAGGCGUGUUCCAUGUUUUUGUGGUUUGCAUCUCAUUAAACCAUAGUGGACUGCAGCCUUUGAGCCCUCAGCCUUAAGGUGUUCAGUUGGGAAAGUUAAAUCCCUGGUGAUCUGCAAACUGCAACACUAUAUAAAACCUUUGUUGACAGUCAAGCACACUGAGCGUUUAAAGUUUUAAUAGGCUUAGAGUUAAUUCUGGAGUCCACCAACAUCUGCAUACAUCUGUAAUUUCAAGCACCUCUUACUUGGUUGAUUUCAUAUAUCGUACCGAAAGUGUUUUUGAAACUUUG
rnacentral:lncRNA from 1 species